rnacentral:lncRNA from 1 species
UUUUUCCUAGUCAUUUAUUCCUUUAUUUAUAUGUGGAUUAAUUCCAAACAAACUGCCUACCAUAAAACUAUGCCCUUCUUUAGAAACAAAUUAAGUCUAUAUUAUACGAAAAACAAAACAUAUAAUCAAAAACAUAAUAAAAUGUAAUAAACAAAAAAGACAUAUGGAGUGAAAUUUUGGAACUAGAUUUGGAGAUAGUUAUAUCAAAAAAUCUGACACAUAUUUCACCACGACUCCUUUUCUAACUUUGUAAAUGAAGAGGUGUAGUCCACAUAUCAUUAAUUUUUCUGAAAGACAUUUCUCAUCCUAAUGUUUUUAUGUACCUUUUUGCUUUUCCCCCACAGGUCAAAGAUGUUGAUUCAUUCAUAGUGUGAGGCCCAGAAAUCGGCAUUUUUAAACAAGUACACUGGACAUUUCUAAAGCUGGCUAAAGUUUGAGAGACACUAUCCAAGGGAAAUUUCUCCGUAACUCUUUUUCUCAGAAGAAAAGUAAACUAAAAGUAAAAAUAAGCAGUACCACUAAGUUUCAAGUGAUCUUCUCCUAAAAGAAGAAAAGGCCUAUAUUCAGGCACAAGAAAAGUAUAUUCUCUUUUAUCCAUGCAGAAAACAGCUAGUGGUUGAAAAUCAACACUUCAGACCUCUUGUCUACAUAAAGCCAACUGCCCCUUUGUUUUACUGAUGUCUUCAAUGAUUUUACUUAGAUUUUUCUACGGCAUUUACUGAAUUAGCUAAGCAGACACAGAUCCAGUCCUUCAUGAAUAUGGUUUGGAGACUCUCUACUGAAUCAGCACUCUUAGCUUCACCGACAUAGUCUCUUGGUAGACCAGAAGGUGUAUCUUAUCUGGAAAGACUGCUAUAUCUACACCCACAAAAAGCAUUAUUUAUCUGAACACUAAAUUCUGACUUCCUUGCCAUUUUAGGGAGCCACUUUAAAACAUUUUCAAUAUUUGCUAUUUUGUAGCAGCAAAUCCUUCAGAAGGAGGUCAAGUGAUGGCCUUUAUCUGUUCCCAGUGUCUUGCCCUUAGGUCCUCAGGGCACCCCCUGGACAGCAGCCUUAGGAACCAGGUACAAAGCACAAGCACUGCUGGUCCGCAUGGUAAGGAAUCACUUCCAGACUGGGCCUUCCCAUGGGCUUCCCUGAGCUUCCUGGACUCAAAUCAUAGUCCUUCUUUUCCUCUCCCCUUUGGACUUGAUAAACGCAGUCCCAUUCAUUUAAUCUCCAACUUAGAAAUCCGGAGAAUGUGAGCCCUGGGAUUUACUUUCAGACACCCUCGUCGAUAACCUUGGCCACUUAGGUUGCUGCAGCCUGUCCCCAGGGAGACAGUUAGAAUGGAACAAUGACACAAACAACACCAACAAUAACAACAGCAGCAGAAGCAGAAGCAACAAUAGUAGAACGAGAAAUAAUUUAUAACAUGCUUACUACAUGCCAGGCACUAAGUGCUUACCCAUAUUAACUCAGUUAAUUCUUAUAACAACCAGAUGAGAUAGAUUUUCUUAUUAUCCCGAUUUUACAAAUGAGCAAACAGAGGCACAAGCAGGUUAAGAAACCUCCCCAAGGUUAAACAGUGAGAAACAGCAAAGAUUUGAACAGUGAGAAACAGCAAAGAUUUGAAACAGCAAAGAUUUGAACCUAUUGUUCGGGAGUCCAUGCUGUUACUCAUUUCUUUAUGCUGCCAUAAUCUAAUAUAAAAUUGAAUAACAAUAAAUGCACCUUAUAUUUGUAUAGCUAUACACACUAAUUUACAUGAUCUUCAUAAGAACUAUGAAAUGGCUGUGAUUAUCCCCAUUUUUAAAAUGAUACUAUAAAGGCAUAAAAUGCUGUAUUUAUGGUAUGCAACCCUUUGGUGAACAACCCUAUAAAUAUUUAAUUACUUAUAUUGAUGUUCUUCCUACGUCUAAGAAAAAUGUUAUUUCCAUUCCCAAGAUGUUAGUAGAGACGAAGAUUUUUCAAUUUGUCUCCUUGAUUUUGUUGGAUUAUAGCAUUAAAGUUAUUUUUACAAAGCCAUCUACGGUAACCCAGUAGAAAGGGUAAGCCUGUUGGCUUAGGAAAACUGAAUGGCAUUCAGUUUCUUCAAAGAAAUUUGGGACAGAUGUGGGUUUUUUUUCUUCUUCUUCUUCAACAAAUCCAGAAGAUGAAAAAUGUAUUUUAUUUCUUGUGAAAUGCAUUUUUCUGUUCAUCUCAGUAUGUGGGACUGUUGAAGUUUAUAAGUUUGGCAGUGUUCUAACAUGGCCAUCCUGUUCUCCUUUAGCAACUUAUUAAAUGUAUUUUUUUUAAUGAAAACAGAACAUAGUGGAAAACUUUUUUCAUCUUUUGACAUUUACUUGUUGGUUAGUGUUUUCUACCAACAAGAUCUCAAACCAGUAUGACAAAACAUCCACAACUCAUUUCCAAAGGCAUUGCAGAUGAUGGUGCCCGGCUCUUCUGUACAAUGUUUUAUUAUUUAUUUAUUUAUUUUAUUAUACUUUAAGUUCUGGGAUACAUGUGCAGAAUGUGCAGGUUUUCCCAUCUGAGAAUCAGUGAUGAUUUUAGAGCUGUUAACUAAUUCUUUUUAGAUCAAUGUUGGUUUAUUGGAAGGGAAAAUUUUUCUCAAGGUUUCUUACACAACAAUGCUACUAAAUUGCAAUGUGGAUACUCCACGGGAUUUUAAAAAAGUUUUAGUGUGGUCUUGCUUGGAGGCAGGUGGGCAGACAGAAUGGCAUUUUCCAUUUCUUCCUGGAUUUAGGACCCUAAGAGAUUUUCCCAAGUCAUUUUCUGGAACUCACGAAGCUCCCUUGGCCUGCUGACUCCACCAUCAAUGAAACCAUGAGAUUCUUCCCUAGUGUUCCAAUCUCCUUUGAUUUUUCAGGCCUAUUUCAGCUCUCAUUUUCAUAUCCCAGCUUUGCCUUUACACUCGAUAUUUUAAAGAGCUUCAGAGUUGACCAAAAUUGUGUCCUAGUGCAUGGAGAAGUUAUUCCAUUCUCUCCAAAUUGUUAUCCUGGAUGAUUGGAUUUAACAACCUCUAGGAGGAUUUGUGGAGGUUUUAGUUUGAUUUCCCUGUGAUCAUUGAUGGUAUUUUUAUUUUCAUUUGCUAAGAAGCUUUCUGCAGUACAGGGAAUAGCUAAUCAUGCCAUUCCUAUCUUUGGCUCAUCUUAACUUCCUUCUUACUAAACAUCCACCUUUAAAUACUAUGAUCUAAGAAUCAUAAUUAUUCCUAUACAAUGUGCUAACCAAAUCACAGCACAAGUGAUAGAUGUGAUUUAAUAGGUAGUGCAUGCCAUCACAUGAAAUUCAGUGUUAGAUAUAACCAUAUCUAAUGCUGUCUUGUUCCUGUCUUGUAGUUCACCUAUUAAACCUACUAGGCUGACAGAGCACAAUCUUGGGGGAAGCAUGGAAAGAGAAGAGAAAGAAUUCUCCGUAGACAUGCAUGAACAUUCAUAGGAUAGGGAAAAAAAAAGGAGUUCUAUAAGCACUUUUCUAUAUUCCCUAAACUGUAAUAGGCUGAAUUUUUUGUGCCCCUUUAUUUUCUGUUGGGUGCAGGAAAAAAUAACUAUUCUACAGAUAGCUCACAGAAGAGUGGCCAACAACUACGGUUACAUAGCCUGCUUUUACACAAUUUUUUCCAGAACCCAUAACUUGAAUGAAAAGCUCUUUUUUUUUCUUUGCUCCACUUGUGAUGAGAAUAGUUUGUUUGACUCAUACCAAACCAAAUCAAGCAUUUCUGUGGGCACAAAGAGGAAUGUGGAGCAAAGAAAGAUUUUCUUCCUAAAAAAGAGUGUGUGCAUGGAAAACAAAAUUGCUUCAGAUUUCACAACAUCCUUUACCAUUAAACACUGAAGGCGGUUUCGGGUCAGUCCAAUUUCCUUUGCAGAUAUUUGACUUUAAAAAUCACAUAUUCAACUUUUAAAAAUGGAUUUGUGUGAAAUGAUAUAUAAAAAAAAUCUCAUGGUAUAUAAGUCAUGAUGAGUUUCAGCUUAUGUUUAACCUCUGCCUCUUCAUCUUUAAGAGAUGCAAAUUGCCUCCAGGCAAUAGUGGAAAUGUCUCGUAUAUCUUGUCCUGCUUCCUCCAAAUCAGCCCCCAAAGACGUUUACAUUAGGAACUCAGAGUGAUGCUGAAAUAAAUGAGUUUCUUCAAAAGGCUGACUGCCCCCUAUCUAGGAAAUUAAAAAUCACUGGAGAGAUUUUUUUUUUAAAAAGGGCAAUAACAGAUAAGUACAUAGUUCUUGCUUUCUCAGCCAGCCCUAUUAAUACUUUUUAGAAUCUCAAAUGACUGAUACUGUUAACUAUGUGGCUAAUUUUAAGAGGGAGAGUAAAACUUUUUCUAAACGACUCAAGUAUCAUACUCUCUCAGUUGUUCCAAGAUCUCAGAUUUGUGACUGUACUUAUUCAAAGAAUGUCAUGCAUUUGCUUUUCUCUUCAAGAAUGUAACAUUACAAAUGUCUUUUAAAUAUGAUUUGAUGUGAAGCUACAAUAAUUCUUUGCAUGCAUUUGAGAACUACAGAUUCUGGCAGUUGACUCAGAAGAGCUUCUCUGCUUCCUUAAAACAAUGAAAACAAUCUCACUUACCUUCUCCCAAGGCUGCUGUGAACACUAAAAUUGCGAAAAAUCAGAAAACUGAGGUAUAGAGUGAGUUCUGGAUGGUUCUCCGGGGCCCGUGGCCAUGCUGUACCUGGCAACAACCUCUGGGAAGUGAGAACAACAGGUAUCACCAUGAUUAUUACAAUUUUAUAGACAAGGAAAGCAACUCAACAUGGAGAAAUGACUUGUCUAACAUCACUGGGCAGAGUUAGU